rnacentral:pre_miRNA from 1 species
UUGUUGUUCAGAAAUAGGAAAGCAGAAUGAAAUCCAGUCUUAGUCAAAUAUUUCAUAUCUCUUCUUAUCCAUUUAAACAUAUGGAUUUAGAGUAGAGCAUAUGGAUCAAUCUAUUUAUAAUUAUAAGAAUCGAAUGUGUUUGUUUUUAUGUUAUUUUGUGAAGAA